CACGUAGGGGACGAGCGUUGUCCGGAUUCAUUGGGCGUAAAGCGCGCGUAGGCGGCUCGGAAAGUCGGUCGUGAAAUGCCGGGGCUCAACCCCGGGACUGCGUCCGAUACUUCCGGGCUGGAGGUAGGUAGGGGAGAUCGGAAUUCCUGGUGUAGCGGUGGAAUGCGCAGAUAUCAGGAGGAACACCGAUGGCGAAGGCAGGUCUCUGGGCCACUACUGACGCUGAGAAGCGAAAGCAUGGGGAGCGAACAGG
rnacentral:rRNA from 1 species